rnacentral:rRNA from 1 species
ACUAAGCGUACACGGUGGAUGCCCUGGCAGUCAGAGGCGAUGAAGGACGUGCUAAUCUGCGAAAAGCGUCGGUAAGGUGAUAUGAACCGUUANCCGGCGAUGUCCGAAUGGGGAAACCCAGUGCAAUUCGUUGCACUAUCGUUAACUGAAUACAUAGGUUAACGAGGCGAACCGGGGGAACUGAAACAUCUAAGUACCCCGAGGAAAAGAAAUCAACCGAGAUUCCCCCAGUAGCGGCGAGCGAACGGGGAGCAGCCCAGAGUCUGAAUCAGCUUGUGUGUUAGUGGAACGGUCUGGAAAGUCCGACGGUACAGGGUGAUAGUCCCGUACACCAAAAUGCACAGGCUGUGAACUCGAAGAGUAGGGCGGGACACGUGGUAUCCUGUCUGAAUAUGGGGGGACCAUCCUCCAAGGCUAAAUACUCCUGACUGACCGAUAGUGAACCAGUACCGUGAGGGAAAGGCGAAAAGAACCCCGGCGAGGGGAGUGAAAAAGAACCUGAAACCGUGUACGUACAAGCAGUGGGAGCACCUUCGGGUGUGACUGCGUACCUUUUGUAUAAUGGGUCAGCGACUUAUAUUCUGUAGCAAGGUUAACCGUAUAGGGGAGCCGCAGGGAAACCGAGUCUUAACUGGGCGUUAAGUUGCAGGGUAUAGACCCGAAACCCGGUGAUCUAGCCAUGGGCAGGUUGAAGGUUGGGUAACACUAACUGGAGGACCGAACCGACUAAUGUUGAAAAAUUAGCGGAUGACUUGUGGCUGGGGGUGAAAGGCCAAUCAAACCGGGAGAUAGCUGGUUCUCCCCGAAAGCUAUUUAGGUAGCGCCUCGUGAAUUCAUCUUCGGGGGUAGAGCACUGUUUCGGCUAGGGGGUCAUCCCGACUUACCAACCCGAUGCAAACUACGAAUACCGAAGAAUGUUAUCACGGGAGACACACGGCGGGUGCUAACGUCCGUCGUGAAGAGGGAAACAACCCAGACCGCCAGCUAAGGUCCCAAAGUCAUGGUUAAGUGGGAAACGAUGUGGGAAGGCACAGACAGCCAGGAUGUUGGCUUAGAAGCAGCCAUCAUUUAAAGAAAGCGUAAUAGCUCACUGGUCGAGUCGGCCUGCGCGGAAGAUGUAACGGGGCUAAACCAUGCACCGAAGCUGCGGCAGCGACACUAUGUGUUGUUGGGUAGGGGAGCGUUCUGUAAGCCUGCGAAGGUGNUGCUGGAGGUAUCAGAAGUGCGAAUGCUGACAUAAGUAACGAUAAAGCGGGUGAAAAGCCCGCUCGCCGGAAGACCAAGGGUUCCUGUCCAACGUUAAUCGGGGCAGGGUGAGUCGACCCCUAAGGCGAGGCCGAAAGGCGUAGUCGAUGGGAAACAGGUUAAUAUUCCUGUACUUGGUGUUACUGCGAAGGGGGGACGGAGAAGGCUAUGUUAGCCGGGCGACGGUUGUCCCGGUUUAAGCAUGUAGGCUGAUUGUCCAGGCAAAUCCGGAUAAUCAAGGCUGAGGUGUGAUGACGAGGCACUACGGUGCUGAAGUAACAAAUGCCCUGCUUCCAGGAAAAGCCUCUAAGCAUCAGGUAACAUUAAAUCGUACCCCAAACCGACACAGGUGGUCAGGUAGAGAAUACCAAGGCGCUUGAGAGAACUCGGGUGAAGGAACUAGGCAAAAUGGUGCCGUAACUUCGGGAGAAGGCACGCUGGUGUGUAGGUGAAGUCCCUGCGGAUGGAGCUGAGACCAGUCGAAGAUACCAGCUGGCUGCAACUGUUUAUUAAAAACACAGCACUGUGCAAACACGAAAGUGGACGUAUACGGUGUGACGCCUGCCCGGUGCCGGAAGGUUAAUUGAUGGGGUUAUCCGUAAGGAGAAGCUCUUGAUCGAAGCCCCGGUAAACGGCGGCCGUAACUAUAACGGUCCUAAGGUAGCGAAAUUCCUUGUCGGGUAAGUUCCGACCUGCACGAAUGGCGUAAUGAUGGCCAGGCUGUCUCCACCCGAGACUCAGUGAAAUUGAACUCGCUGUGAAGAUGCAGUGUACCCGCGGCAAGACGGAAAGACCCCGUGAACCUUUACUAUAGCUUGACACUGAACAUUGAGCCUUGAUGUGUAGGAUAGGUGGGAGGCUUUGAAGCGUGGACGCCAGUCUGCGUGGAGCCAACCUUGAAAUACCACCCUUUAAUGUUUGAUGUUCUAACGUUGGCCCCUUACCGGGGUUGCGGACAGUGUCUGGUGGGUAGUUUGACUGGGGCGGUCUCCUCCCAAAGCGUAACGGAGGAGCACGAAGGUUAGCUAAUCCUGGUCGGACAUCAGGAGGUUAGUGCAAUGGCAUAAGCUAGCUUGACUGCGAGCGUGACGGCGCGAGCAGGUGCGAAAGCAGGUCAUAGUGAUCCGGUGGUUCUGAAUGGAAGGGCCAUCGCUCAACGGAUAAAAGGUACUCCGGGGAUAACAGGCUGAUACCGCCCAAGAGUUCAUAUCGACGGCGGUGUUUGGCACCUCGAUGUCGGCUCAUCACAUCCUGGGGCUGAAGUAGGUCCCAAGGGUAUGGCUGUUCGCCAUUUAAAGUGGUACGCGAGCUGGGUUUAGAACGUCGUGAGACAGUUCGGUCCCUAUCUGCCGUGGGCGCUGGAGAAUUGAGGGGGGCUGCUCCUAGUACGAGAGGACCGGAGUGGACGCAUCACUGGUGUUCGGGUUGUCAUGCCAAUGGCACUGCCCGGUAGCUAAAUGCGGAAGAGAUAAGUGCUGAAAGCAUCUAAGCACGAAACUUGCCCCGAGAUGAGUUCUCCCUGAGACUUUAAGUCUCCUGAAGGAACGUUAAAGACGAUGACGUUGAUAGGCCGGGUGUGUAAGCGCAGCGAUGCGUUGAGCUAACCGGUACUAAUGAACCGUGAGGCUUAACC